GGAGCGGGAAAUAAGGGCGUAUGGUGGAUGCCUUGGCUUUGAAAGGCGAUGAAGGACGUGGCGUGACUGCGUUAAGCGUCGGGGAGGUGUCGAGCAACCUUUGAUCCGGCGAUAUCCGAAUGGGGCAACCCUAUCAUGGCAAACCGUGAUAACUUUCGAGCUUGACUCGGAGGAGCGUACCCGGGGAAGUGAAACAUCUCAGUACCCGGAGGAAAAGAAAACAAUUUCAAUUUUUAAAUUGAUCCAUUCCCCAAGUAGCGGCGAGCGAAAAGGGAUGAGCCCAAACCCUUUUCGAGGCGCGAAAGCGCGUCGGAAGGGGGGUAGAAAGAGAGUGUCGUUCUGGAGCAAUUCGAAUUCUCCGGAAGGGAGCCGAUAAAAUAUUUUUGUUAGCUGAAGAGAGCUGGAAAGCUCCGCCAAAGAAGGUAAUAGCCCUGUAAGCGAAAACAAAAUUUAUGCUCCUUGAUACUUUUCUUGAGUACUUCGAUAAAAGCAUGAGUCGGAGGAAGCAGGGAGAACUACUCUCCUAAGGCUAAAUACUUUCAAAGACCGAUAGUGAACUAGUACCGUGAGGGAAAGGUGAAAAGCAGCCCGGUGAGGGCGAUGAAAUAGUACCUGAAACCAUAUGCCUACAAGGACUCGGAGCCCCGACGCGCGCAAGCGUGUUCAGGGUGACGGGGUGCCUAUUGAAGAAUGAGCCAACGAGUUAUUGUUUGCUGCAGCCUAAUCCCGCUCGACGGGAGGAGGCAUAGGGAAACCGAGUCUGAAAGGGCGCAAGCCCCGCUUUCGGGCGGGGCAAGUAGCAAACAAUAGACCCGAAGCCAGGUGAGCUACCCCUGGCCAGGAUGAAGGUCGCCGAAAGGCGGCCGGAGGUCCGAACCGGUUGGUCGUACAACGCCAUCGGAUGAGUUGGGGGUAGGAGUGAAAAGCUAAUCGAACCUGGGAAUAGCUGGUUCUCUCCGAAAUAGCUUUUGGGCUAGCGCUUGAGGUAAUCGCCGGAGGUAGAGCACUGGAUGGUCGUCACAGGGCGAAAGCUCGGACGACCAAUCAAACUCCGAAUGCCGGUGAAGAAACUCAAGUAGUCAGAAUACGGGGGCUAAGCUCCGUCGGUCGAAAGGGAAACAUCCAAGAUCUCAAUCUAAGGUCCCAAAAUCGCUUUUAAUUGUACUUGAGGUGGUGUGGUUUCAGAA
rnacentral:rRNA from 1 species